rnacentral:rRNA from 1 species
UGGGAAUAUUGGACAAUGGGGCAACCCUGAUCCAGCCAUGCCGCGUGAGUGAUGAAGGCCCUAGGGUUGUAAAGCUCUUUUGUGCGGGAAGAUAAUGACGGUACCGCAAGAAUAAGCCCCGGCUAACUUCGUGCCAGCAGCCGCGGUAAUACGAAGGGGGCUAGCGUUGCUCGGAAUCACUGGGCGUAAAGGGUGCGUAGGCGGGUUUCUAAGUCAGAGGUGAAAGCCUGGAGCUCAACUCCAGAACUGCCUUUGAUACUGGAAGUCUUGAGUAUGGCAGAGGUGAGUGGAACUGCGAGUGUAGAGGUGAAAUUCGUAGAUAUUCGCAAGAACACCAGUGGCGAAGGCGGCUCACUGGGCCAUUACUGACGCUGAGGCACGAAAGCGUGGGGAGCAAAACAGGAUUAGAUACCCUGGUAGUCCACGCCGUAAACGAUGAAUGCCAGCCGUUAGUGGGUUUUACUCACUAGUGGCGCAGCUAACGCUUUUAAGCAUUCCGCCUGGGGAGUACGGUCGCAAGAUUAAAAACUCAAAGGAAUUGACGGGGUCAUAGCUG